GGCUGUAGCUCAGUGCUAGAGCACCUGCUUUGCAUGCACAAGGUCUCAGGUUCAGUCCCUGGAAUCUCCA